AUUCUUACCUAGCAGUGGAGAUACCGUGGUUGUGAAGGUGGUUUUCUCAGGGCGAUGCUUAUCCAUUGAGUUUCAGAUGUUCUGACUCCUGAAAUUUUCCAAUGCAGGAAACUCGACUGCAUAAUUUGUGGUAAUGAGGAACUAGGUUCAUGCUCUCCUCU